rnacentral:rRNA from 1 species
UGGGGAAUCUUGGACAAUGGGCGCAAGCCUGAUCCAGCCAUGCCGCGUGGAUGAUGAAGGCCUUAGGGUUGUAAAAUCCUUUCGUUGGGGACGAUAAUGACGGUACCCAAAGAAGAAGCUCCGGCUAACUUCGUGCCAGCAGCCGCGGUAAUACGAAGGGGGCUAGCGUUGUUCGGAUUUACUGGGCGUAAAGCGCGUGUAGGCGGACUUGUAAGUUGGGGGUGAAAUCCCGAGGCUCAACCUCGGAACUGCCUCCAAAACUACAAAUCUGGACCUAAGUAGAGGCAAGUGGAAUUGCGAGUGUAGAGGUGAAAUUCGUAGAUAUUCGCAGGAACACCAGUGGCGAAGGCGACUUGCUGGACUUAUGGUGACGCUGAGACGCGAAAGCGUGGGGAGCAAACAGGAUUAGAUACCCCUGUAGUCCCUGAGCGGGCUGGCAAGGCGCAU